ACUUUUGAUCUAGUGACAUCUUUCUUAUGUUGUAGGCAAUGAUAAGUCUAGUUUGAAAGUUUACAGUCAACCAUUGGUAAAGAUUCAUGGUACAGUAUACAUAGAAAAGGGUGGAAUAAAUAUUUUUGAGGCUUAAAGCUCUCCUCCUGCAACAAAGAUGAUUUUGGCUGGCUUCUGGAAUCCUCAUACAUGAGUUGUUUGGGUGCUCGAGAUCAGAUGAAUUGUCUGAAGACAUGCUAGGGAAGUUUUCAUGUGUAUGAGCAACUAUGAACACUAGCUAUUCUCUCAAUCUGGUGAUGGGACAAUCCUUUAAUUCAGGGUUAUUGAAUGGUUGAUGGCAAAGAUGCCAGGUUAAUGGACGGUGAGAAGUCAAAAUUUUUACAUGGAAUUUUGAUGGAUAUCAUUCAAUCAGAAAGUAAAUUUCUGAGAGGAAGGCUCACAUUAUUGGAAGUAUACAUGAUGUGGAUGGCAAUCUCCUGGUGUAAAAGCGUCUCCACGCCUUGUAAGUGGAACCGAUGGAUAGGCAAAAAUCUUCAAGUACUUAGUUAAGAUCGAAUAGACAAGUCAAAUACCUGUAUGGUACUUGUAAACACACUGAAUUAGAAAUAAUUGAACAAACAGAUAAAUACAACCAAAAGAAGAUGAACACCUCAAAGCAGUUUGUUUGCUUACUGUAGAUAAACAAGUAAACUUCAAGAACCAGCUACAAGGAUGAUAUGUAAC